rnacentral:rRNA from 1 species
CUCUGCUAAACCGUAAGGUGACGUAUAGGGGCUGACGCCUGCCCGGUGCUGGAAGGUUAAGAGGAGUGGUUAGCAUUAGCGAAGCUACGAAUCGAAGCCCCAGUAAACGGCGGCCGUAACUAUAACGGUCCUAAGGUAGCGAAAUUCCUUGUCGGGUAAGUUCCGACCCGCACGAAAGGCGUAACGAUUUGGGCACUGUCUCAACGAGAGACUCGGUGAAAUCAUAGUACCGGUGAAGAUGCCGGUUACCCGCGACAGGACGGAAAGACCCCGUGGAGCUUUACUGUAGCCUGAUAUUGAAAUUCGGUACAGUUUGUACAGGAUAGGUAGGAGCCUUAGAAGCGUGAGCGCUAGCUUACGUGGAGGCAUUGGUGGGAUACUACCCUAAUUGUAUUGGAUUUCUAACCCGCAACUCUUAUCGAGUUGGGAGACAGUGUCAGGCGGGCAGUUUGACUGGGGCGGUCGCCUCCUAAAGAGUAACGGAGGCGCUCAAAGGUUCCCUCAGAAUGGUUGGAAAUCAUUCAUAGAGUGUAAAGGCAUAAGGGAGCUUGACUGCGAGACCUACAAGUCGAGCAGGGUCGAAAGACGGACUUAGUGAUCCGGUGGUUCCGCAUGGAAGGGCCAUCGCUCAACGGAUAAAAGCUACCCCGGGGAUAACAGGCUUAUCUCCCCCAAGAGUUCACAUCGACGGGGAGGUUUGGCACCUCGAUGUCGGCUCAUCGCAUCCUGGGGCUGUAGUCGGUCCCAAGGGUUGGGCUGUUCGCCCAUUAAAGCGGUACGCGAGCUGGGUUCAGAACGUCGUGAGACAGUUCGGUCCCUAUCCGUCGUGGGCGUAGGAAAUUUGAGAGGAGCUGUCCUUAGUACGAGAGGACCGGGAUGGACAUACCUCUGGUGUACCAGUUGUCGUGCCAACGGCAUAGCUGGGUAGCUAUGUAUGGACGGGAUAAGUGCUGAAAGCAUCUAAGCAUGAAGCCCCCCUCAAGAUGAGAUUUCCCAACUUCGGUUAUAAGAUCCCUCAAAGAUGAUGAGGUUAAUAGGUUCGAGGUGGAAGCGUAGCGAUACGUGGAGCUGACGAAUACUAAUCGAUCGAAGACUUAAUCAAUUU